CAAUUACGCUGACGACUGGGGUUCUGAACUCUGAGCUUUGAAGACCCCCAGAAACACUUUCUGGCAGGCUACAGAAACAUCAAGGAGAUUGGGUAGAAACAGGAGGGCCAGCUGAUGCUGAGAAAAAUUUGAGGCUCUCGUAUAUACAUAACAUGUGAAUCCACUACUGGGAUGGUUGCCUAGCAACAUUAUUCCCCUCCCCCUCAAGCCUUCUUGUGACAGCCUCACUUCUUUCCUAUUCUGAUAUUAGCUUAAUGUUUUUUUAUGAAUCAGAUGUACAAUAUUUUGGGAAUGGUGUAUAGCAUAAGAGAGUAGAGAGUAGCCUGAUUUACUAGUAUCAUUUGGAAAAUAUACAAUCCAGGCAGCUCUUUUAAAAAGUUAAUGGUCCAUUUUUGGCCAUGUUACAAAAGUAGAUGUUUAGAUUACAAGAAGAUUUUUUAAAAAGGAAAUACCUAAGGAUCCUGCCCUGCGAAGGCCCCAUUCUGCCGCUCUCGUAUUCAUAGCAGAUGUUUAGGUGGACGUUUCCGGUUGUGCAAGGACCCGGUGAUUUGCCUCAGGUGGACGUAAAAGCCAGUCCACCCCAGGUCCUUUCUCCUGACCAGAGAAGCGUAAAGCUGGAAGGUGCAGGAAAACAUCCAGUUGCUGAGCUGACUUCACUGAAGAAGCCCGGAGAGCUGAGCGCAUUUUCAGUCUCCCAAAUACCAGUCGAUCAUAAUACCAGGUGGCACAGAAAAAGGAGGAGAGGAAAAGCAUGCAGCGUGUUGCAAAGGGAGUAGCUGUGUUAUGCAAAAGGCGUGGAUCCCGGAGGAAGACAUGUGCGGUCCCUUCUGCUCAGAUGGGGCUUGUCUGGCGCUUGGUAGCAAGGACUCGGGGAAUAACAGACUGGUAGGACCAUCUUAUG
rnacentral:lncRNA from 1 species